UCGGGAUAGGCGGGGUGUUAGCGGUACCCUGUACCCGAAAACCGCUUGAUGCGGGGCUGAAUUCCCCUCCGAGGAUAUGAUGCGGAUGCCGCAGGUCAUUCAGGUCGGCCGCCGCGCAACAGACGGUUACGAACCUCGUCAGGUCCGGAAGGAAGCAGCGAUAAGUAAUGCAGUCUGUGUCGCGGAUCGUUCCCGGCCAGGUUAUGACCUGCAUUUUCCAAGUCUUUCCGAAGAGGGGUUCCCGG
rnacentral:SRP_RNA from 1 species